rnacentral:rRNA from 1 species
GAUGAACGCUAGCGGCAGGCUUAAUACAUGCAAGUCGAGGGGCAGCAUGAGUGUAGCAAUACAUUUGAUGGCGACCGGCAAACGGGUGCGGAACACGUACACAACCUUCCUAUAAGUGGGGAAUAGCCCAGAGAAAUUUGGAUUAAUACCCCGUAACAUAAUGAUGUGGCAUCACAUUAUUAUUAUAGCUACGGCGCUUAUUGAUGGGUGUGCGGCUGAUUAGAUAGUUGGCGGGGUAACGGCCCACCAAGUCUACGAUCAGUAGCUGAUGUGAGAGCAUGAUACGCCACACGGGCACUGAAACACGGGCCCGAGUCCGACGGGAGGCAGCAGUAAGGAAUAUUGGUCAAUGGACGCAAGUCUGAACCAGCCAUGCCGCGUGAAGGAUUAAGGUCCUCUGGAUUGUAAACUUCUUUUAUCUGGGACGAAAAAAGGCGAUUCUUCGUCACUUGACGGUACCAGAUGAAUAAGCACCGGCUAACUCCGUGCCAGCAGCCGCCGUAAAAC